UGGUCGGUUGGAGUCCAGCAUCUUCUCUCUUACUAUUACUAUCUAAGUUUCCUUAUAAUGUUUGUUCUCUGAAAUCAAAGAGAAAUUCCUCUUUGCAACUGUUUGCUGAAUUGAAGAAAUUAAGCACUGCCCCUUCAACUAGAGCUAUCUAAUUCAGGUAUCAAACAGAAAUCAAGGAGCUAGCUAGCACACUGAACAAAGAAACUUUAAUCUGAGUGAAAAGGCAGAGAUAUUACCAAGAAAAAAAGGAGUACUACCUUUUGUUCAGAAGAUAUCCCUAGGGGAGCUGUUUUUCCCGUCAAUUAUGAGAGACAUUAUAUGAUGAUUACAAGAGAAGUAAACAAGCAGGAGGGCAAUCCAGACGAUGAUGGCAAUAAAAGCACUUCGAAUAAUAAGGCUUCUUCGUCGUCUAACUCAACAACAUCAUGGACAAGGUUAAAAGAUCCAAGAAUUGUUCGUGUCUCGCGAGCAUUUGGAGGAAAAGACAGGCACAGCAAAGUUUGCACUGUAAGAGGGCUAAGAGAUCGUCGCGUAAGGCUUUCAGUUCCAACUGCUAUUCAAUUAUAUGAUCUUCAAGACAGAUUAGGGCUUAAUCAACCAAGUAAAGUUGUUGAUUGGUUGCUUAAUGCAGCUAAGAAUGAAAUCGAUGAAUUGCCUCCGUUGCAAAUUCCUCCUGGAAAUUUGAACCCUAAUCUUUAUCCUAUGUUAGGAAUUGGGGGUUCUCAAAUUAAUAAAGAGGGUCUUAAGAGCAAUAGCAACAUCAAUUGGGAUAUUGUUCCAUUGGAACCAUCUAAUAAUAAUGCCUAUUCUAAUUUCCUGAAAUGGGAUCCUUCAAAUUUAUCCCUAGCUCAUUCAGAAAAUUCUCAUCAUCAUCAUGGGGCUAAUUCAGUAUGUCAUCAACAUGAUCAAGAUAUUCACAACUUCAACUUAAUGUCUAGUAUGCCAUUAGGUUCACAAGUUGUUGUUUAUCCACCAGGAUUGCCCCAAUUUUUCCAUCAACACAAUAUUGCGGGAGCAUCGUCGUCAGAGUUUGAUCCGAAAGAAAUCAACUUUCAAAUGUUGAAUUCCGGUUCAGAAAAUUCCUUUAGACAUUCUAUUGACUCCACGAGCCAAUCUAUAAGACCUUUCCAUUUUCUACCUUCUCAAAAUAGUGAGGGAAGAGAGCCCUCCAAUUAAGAUCAUUGUUGAUCCUCUCUGUUGACUGUGCAGCUCUUUAUAACAGCUUAAUAUUUUAGAUGAAGUGUCAUCAUAGACUUCAACAUGAUACCAGAGCAGACAUAUAUCAUAUCAGUAUUGUCGAUCAGGUGGAGUGAUUGUGCUAUAUUAUUCGUGACCAAAUGUUUCAUGUCAUGGAUUAGAUUCAUUAAGGUGCUGGCUAGCUAUUCAACUUUCAAGAUCAGAUCAGGUCAUCAAUCGGAGAUGUUAGUUCUCUACCGGUUGAUGAUGCUUGUUCUUUGGCCAAUUUUAGCAUGUAAAAUCUUGUUAUACCCCGUAAUUUUAUACGUCGAGUUAUUCGCAAGAAAAUCGACUCAAGUUAAAGACGGGAUCAUUUUCGGGCACGAAACAGAAAUCUUUAAUUUCCGGUCUCUAUUAGAAAAUGAAUUGCUUAUGAAUUUUACUUUGUGUAAAAAUAUUAAUGGAAAGUUGGGAUUAAUUUACCAUGAUUAGAUUAUUAAGUGGGGAUUAGUGAUUAAUUAAUCUAAUUAUCGAAAAGUGGGCCCUACGACACGUGGCGAGAUUUGGUUGGACUUGAAUAAAGAUGGACACAUGUCAUGCAAAAUUGACACAUGUCCACUUUGUAAAGAUAAAAUAUAUAGGCAUAAGUGGAAGACUAAGUCAUCACUUAUACCACAAAUUAGUCUUGCAAAUUAGGUCUUAGAGAGAGGGGCUCUCAAGCCUAGAGAGAGAGAGAAGAUCGCGGGUACUGUUCCGGCAACUGUUCACGGCGGGACUACUAUUCACGGGCGGCGUACUGUUCACGGCGCACUAUUCACGGCGGCGCUACUGUUCACGCCGCCACUGUUCACGCCAGCCCAUUUUUGCCCCCUUCUACACAAUUAAUUGGAGAGAUUUGAAGAUUAAGAGGAGGAAAAAGAUGGAGCUCAUGGUAGCCAUGACUUUCUUGAAGACAUUUCAUGGUGAAAAAUUAGAGCUUGUCUCUAAGGCCUUGGGGAGCCCGAGGCGUAGGUUGGGAUUAAUUUUAGUUGGGCAAACUUGGAGCGCGUACGAGGUACAGACGCACAGUUUGGUGAUCUACCCAUUUAGGACACCCUCUUCUGCUGUUUGGAGUGCUCUUCUCAUUUCAGAGCACACAUUUUGGUAUAUAUUCGUUCGCUAUGUAUAUAUGCAUUUGUUCAGGGGCACGGCGGGGCCCUGUCCCGCCAUAUGAUUCGGUUUGUCUGUUUAGAGGUCUGUAGACGUAUUUGUGGGUGUGUGUGCCUACUUCUGUACGGAUGUGUUUGCAUGACUCUAUUCGUUAUGGCAGCCUCGUCGGCGUGCAUUUUGUAUAUGUUGUGGCAGCCUUGUCGGCGUGCAUUUGUAUAUGCGUUUUGGGCCGUUGUGCCAUUUGACAGCCUUGUCGGCUUUUGACAUAUUUGAUAGCCUUGCUGGCUUUUUGACAUCUAUACAUAUAUAUCCGCAUACGGUUGCGUUGAGAUGUGUUUGAACAGUUUGAUAUAGUUUGAGAUGGCAUAUAGUAAUUAUGGCCGUAUAUGCUAUUUGUGUGUGAUCAAAUAUGGAUAGGUAUGUCAGGGUGCCCAAGUAGGGCGCCAGUCACGGCCUACGGGGUUGGGUCGUGACAGAAGUGGUAUCAAAGCAGUUCGUCCUAGGAGUGUCUACAGACCGUGUCUAGUAGAGUCUUGUUUAUCGAUGUGUUGUGCACCACAUCUAUAAACAGGAGGCUACAGGGCAUUUAGGAUGUUACCUUUCUUUCAUAUCUAAGAUCGUGCGAUAGAGCCCAGUCAUAGGAAAUGAAAUUCCUUAUACUAACCCUUGAUUUCAGCAGUAGAACGGCAUCGACCGAAGAAAGUGACUGAUGAUAUUGGAAGUUACAAAGUACGCAGGUGAGCAACGGUACGAAGAAUGUAUGUCGGGUAAGGUAUUUGAAGUACGAUCGAAAUGUAAAGUUAAAGAUUGAAAGGGAAAGUAAACAGGAAAGUGUAACAGGCGCAGUUUGGAUUAGACAUACGAGGUAAGUCCAUCAUUUUCGUAUUAUUGCUGAUAUUGGGAGCCCUGUGUGGCUAUGAUACGAUAUGAGAUAUACAUAUAAAUGUUGGCCCUGUGAGGCAUUGUUGGUAUUUUCUGCGUGCAGGUUUUGGGAUAGUAAGAAAUACAAAGGAAAUUCUGCCAAAAUUUUCCUAGAAAUAAAAGGAGGAUGAGAUAUGAAAAGCAGAAUGAACCAAGAGAAGGAAAGACUACGACUAAGAUUGGAUAUAUUUUAUACAAGUUGUACAAGAAUAUUGGUAUGCUAAGAAAGAGACUACAUGUGAUAGCAAUAAAAGAGAUUCCCCCGAAAUUUUUGUAAGACCCUAUGGGACAAGUUUAACAUUCGAGGACGAAUGUUCCAAAGGGGGGGAGGAUGUUAUACCCCGUAAUUUUAUACGUCGAGUUAUUCGCAAGAAAAUCGACUAAAGUUAAAGACGGGAUCAUUUUCGGGCACGAAACAGAAAUCUUUAAUUUCCGGUCUCUAUUAGAAAAUGAAUUGCUUAUGAAUUUUACUUUGUGUAAAAAUAUUAAUGGAAAGUUGGGAUUAAUUUACCAUGAUUAGAUUAUUAAGUGGGGAUUAGUGAUUAAUUAAUCUAAUUAUCGAAAAGUGGGCCCUACGACACGUGGCGAGAUUUGGUUGGACUUGAAUAAAGAUGGACACAUGUCAUGCAAAAUUGACACAUGUCCACUUUGUAAAGAUAAAAUAUAUAGGCAUAAGUGGAAGACUAAGUCAUCACUUAUACCACAAAUUAGUCUUGCAAAUUAGGUCUUAGAGAGAGGGGCUCUCAAGCCUAGAGAGAGAGAGAAGAUCGCGGGUACUGUUCCGGCAACUGUUCACGGCGGGACUACUAUUCACGGGCGGCGUACUGUUCACGGCGCACUAUUCACGGCGGCGCUACUGUUCACGCCGCCACUGUUCACGCCAGCCCAUUUUUGCCCCCUUCUACACAAUUAAUUGGAGAGAUUUGAAGAUUAAGAGGAGGAAAAAGAUGGAGCUCAUGGUAGCCAUGACUUUCUUGAAGACAUUUCAUGGUGAAAAAUUAGAGCUUGUCUCUAAGGUAAGAUUUAAUUCUUUUCUACAUGUUUUGGAGGUAGUUUAGACUUGUAUAGCUUGGUAGAUGUGUGUUGAAUACAAACGGGUUAUGUAUGUUGAUGUUGAAUUAUAAAUUGAGCCGUGUAAGGGGGGGUGUUUUGAGUAAGAAUGAUGAAUUGAUUUUAGUAGCAUUAUGGAGGAAUUAAAUGGUUAAAUUUAAAGUUGUAUUGUUUUAUGGACAUGUUGUUAUCCUUGCUGAAUUGAAAGGAUUAAGGAUAUGAUUAUGCUCAUAUGAUUAUUGUUGUUGUUAUCAUGAAUUAUGUGAUGAGAAUGAAGGAAUUUAAUGGUUAGAGUUGGAGUUAAAUUUGUUGUGGGUUGUUAUAAGGAUUAUAAUGAUAAUAAUGUGGUUUACUUGCAUAUGGAUAGAUGAUGUAGUUGUGGUGUAGCUGCUGCAGUAUUUCAUUAAAUUUGCUUAAAAGAUUGCAUGAAAUACGGUAUAAGAAGUGAAAAGGGGGCUGCUCUACGCUAGGGGGCUGUUUUCGGCCAUAGAUGGAAAAAUUGUGGAUUGUUGGAAAUAUUAUGUGAAUUGUUUAGAAUGUUCUUGGAUGUUGUUAGUAUGGGUUUGGGUUAGUAUUUGAAUGUAUAAGUGUUGAUGUUGGCUUUGAGGUAAACCGUUGAAUUGAAUAUUUGGAAAGUUGUCGUAUGGUGUAAAAAAGAGCUAUUAAUGUUAUUUUGCCUUUCGAAUUGAUUAUCGAUGUUGCUAGGUUGGUUAUUGUGGUUGUUGUUGCUGAUUUUGAGCGAGUUAAAUUCUCGGGUUAGCCUAUUUACAGGGGAAGUGCUGCCGAAUUUUAUGUAGAAUUUAGAAUUAGUUGGAAUAAAUGACUUAAGUACCUAUGGCUAAUGUUUGAUAUUCGUUGGCGUAUUCAUAGGCCUUGGGGAGCCCGAGGCGUAGGUUGGGAUUAAUUUUAGUUGGGCAAACUUGGAGCGCGUACGAGGUAUGUAAAGCGCAACCCUUCUUUCUUUUGGCAUGCCUUAGUUUUCAAUAGGCUAGAUUAUAAGCCUUGAGGAAAAUUCUAAGAUUCGAAAUCCGAGCAUGUUAUGAGCCUUAUAAAUAUUCCUUGACACUCUUAUGUAUGAUUUGAUGAAAUAUGAACCAUUAUGUCUUUGAAAUAAUCGCUUUCCGAACUUUGCAUAAAAAGGUUUCACUUUAAAGAAUUUCGUAAUUUGUAAACGCCAUAUCUUUCACAGAAAGGCUCGGAUUGCUUCAAUAAUUUUUGUAGAAGUUUAUAUGGCAUAUAAUGAGUAUGUUUUCCAUAGGCGGGCCCGACUCGGGUAAAUACCCGUCCGUGGGCCCCGCGACUUUCCUUUAUGUAAUUCGGGAACUUUUGAAAGAAUUCGUUAUGACUAUUAUUUCGAUUUUCAAGUAUGAUCAUUUUACUUAUAUUUGAGUCUAUGAUAAUGAUUUUAUGCAUAUGGUUACUCAUGACUCUGCUCGUGCGUUCUGUUAUAUCUUUCGCCGGUUCCCGGGCCGGUUCUGUUAUCGUGCGCGCUUUGAUAUACUCCGAAGUUAUGCUGUGUUUAUGGUUCUCCGAGCUACUCGCAAACGAGGGUCGGGUUCCACAUAUAUUUGGUGUUAUGCUGUGUAUGGCGUUAUGUUGUGAUGUGAUAUGUGACGGGGAUACGGAGAUUUGAAACUUUCUGGUGUUAUGCUGUGUUAUGGCGCCAUCGACGGGUGGGCGACCAUAUUCUUCUGUACCUUAUGCAUGACUUAUAUUUUGAAAGUAAACAUUUUGAUAUGUUGGAUUGGUACUUCCAUUUCGUUUAUGUCUCAGAUUUGCUUUCUGUAUAUUCUGCUUUGCAUACUCAGUACAUAUUUCGUACUGACCCCCUUUCUUCGGGGGGGCUGCGUUUCAUGCCCGCAGGUACAGACGCACAGUUUGGUGAUCUACCCAUUUAGGACACCCUCUUCUGCUGUUUGGAGUGCUCUUCUCAUUUCAGAGCACACAUUUUGGUAUAUAUUCGUUCGCUAUGUAUAUAUGCAUUUGUUCAGGGGCACGGCGGGGCCCUGUCCCGCCAUAUGAUUCGGUUUGUCUGUUUAGAGGUCUGUAGACGUAUUUGUGGGUGUGUGUGCCUACUUCUGUACGGAUGUGUUUGCAUGACUCUAUUCGUUAUGGCAGCCUCGUCGGCGUGCAUUUUGUAUAUGUUGUGGCAGCCUUGUCGGCGUGCAUUUGUAUAUGCGUUUUGGGCCGUUGUGCCAUUUGACAGCCUUGUCGGCUUUUGACAUAUUUGAUAGCCUUGCUGGCUUUUUGACAUCUAUACAUAUAUAUCCGCAUACGGUUGCGUUGA